rnacentral:rRNA from 1 species
UACGUAGGGUGCAAGCGUUGUCCGGAAUUAUUGGGCGUAAAGAGCUCGUAGGCGGUCUGUCGCGUCGGAUGUGAAAACCCAGGGCUUAACCCUGGGCCUGCAUUCGAUACGGGCAGACUAGAGUUCGGUAGGGGAGACUGGAAUUCCUGGUGUAGCGGUGAAAUGCGCAGAUAUCAGGAGGAACACCGGUGGCGAAGGCGGGUCUCUGGGCCGACACUGACGCUGAGGAGCGAAAGCGUGGGGAGCGAACAGG